UAAUUCUUACAACCCCUCCUGAUCUUUGUUUUACAGAUGAGGAAAUUGAGACUCAGAGAGGUUGAGUAACUUUCCCAAGGUCACAGAGUUAGUAGUGUACCUAGGAUUUUAACCCAAGUCUGGCUGAGUCCAAAGCGUAAGUUCUUAACUGUCAUGCCCAAUAUCCCUCUAGCUUCAGAGUCAGGCAGGGCUAGAGGACAGAGCCCAGAGCCAAACCUAAAAGGAAGGUUGACUUUUAAGGGGUGAAAAUGCAGUCACGUCAAGAAGAAAGUUAUCCAACAUCUGUUCACAGGGCCAAGGCCUCCUCCUGGCAGAGUAGAUCUGGUUGGCAGGGAAGGAAAAUUGGAGUUGCAUGAGGAGCAUCUUGGAUCUGGGAAAAAGACCUAAAGUCUGAGUACUAUCAAGUGGGAGAGGAGGAAAAGCUAUAUGCCUCCCUCUGGUACUGACACAGGCUUAAGCAACUGCGUGGUGGAAAGCUGGUGGAUUCAUCUAGCUCAGAUGGCAAGUAAAAAGGAAUGAAGGCAAAGAAUGACAAUCCAAAGCAUGUCUCAAGGUGAUCACUGCAUGCGGACACUAUCUGGGAGAGGCUGGGAAAGGGAGCAAAAGAGGAAUCCAGGGGAAUUAAUCACUUGCCUGCCAAGGAGAUGCAGUUCAGAAACCAAAGGGAAAAGCAGGGCUCGCUCCCACAAAGCACUCAAUCUCCCAAAAGAAAAAGCAUAAAUAGAGUCAUAUUUGCCAAUGAAGGUUUCUAAAUGUUUAAACUAGCUGGUAACACCGCACAGAUGGAGAAACUAAUGCUUGCGGAAGUUAAUGAUUUGUACCGUAGUCACUCGGUGAGUCGGAGAUAGAGCAGAUGUAAACCCCCAAUCUCUGGACUCCCAGAUCUGCGCAUAAACUAUCAAAAAUACAAACCUUCUAGCCCUGAAAUCUGCCCAGCCCUUUUUCUACUGUGUGGUCCCUGUCAACCUUCAACAUUGUACUACACAGAAGGGAUUUCUUUCCCCUUACACGGUUUCUAAGUCUUGGUUAGCUACAUGACUGGGUUUCUGCAUUUUUUCUUUUAUUCUUUCAUUCAUUCUACAAAUAUUUAUUGAAUUUUUACUAUGCACAAGGCACUGUUCUAGACGCUGGGAACACAGUGGUGAACAAGACAGAGAUCUUGCUUUCCUCUAAUGCUGAUUCUGGGAGGGGCAGGCAGACAAUGAACAACAAACAAGAAAAUAUCAGAAUAAAAGUGUUAGACAGAAAACAGAGCAGAGUGAUGGGAUGGAAAGUAACAGCAGGAAAUAACUUAGAUUGAGUGGUCAAGAAUGGCCUCUUAGGGGAGGAGAUUUUGAGCUGAGACCUGAAUGCCCCCAAAAAGCCAGCCACAUGAAGAUGGGAGAAAAGCAGAUUUUUCAGUCAAAAUACACACGUAUAGAUUUCCCAGUUACGCACUCUGUAACCUGUUUUUUCAGCUACUCAAGAUAACUUAUUAGAUUGCCAGUGAAUGAAAGUGUCAUCCUAUGAGGAAUAAAGCAACACAUUUUAUUCUAAAUUUUAAAGUUUCAUUAGCAAGCUUUGAUAUUUUGACUAUUAAUUUUUAUUAAUCUGAAAUUCCCUACUCAUUUUACAACAGAUUAAGACACAGCAGUCUUAUCAGAGGUUAGUACACAAAGGAAUUAAGAGGCUCACUGAAGAGCUCAAGGGCAUGACAAAUGUUUCAUCCAGAUUAUGCUCAAAUUCAUCUGCACAAUAGAUACUACACAUUAUGUGGUCCACCACCGUCACUACCUUGCCCCAUUUUAUUCUAACCGGCCUCCCAGAUCUCCAGCAAACAAGGUGAUCCUUUCAAAAAGAAACUGCAAUCAUGUCUCUCCACCGCUAACCUCACUCUAAAUUACAACAUUCUGCAAUUGUGGAUUGUUAUGGGCUGAAUUACAUCCCCCCAAAAUUCAAACAUUGAGGCCUGUAUUAGUCUAUUCUCACGCUGCUAAUAAAGACAUAUCUGAGACUGGGUAAUUUAUAAAGUUAAGAGGUUUAAUUGACUCACACUUCCACAUGGCUGGGGAGGCCUCACAAUCAUGGAGGAAGGCGAGUGAGGAGCAAAGUUACAUCUUAGGUGGCGGCCGGUAAGAGAGCUUGUAUACGGGAACUCCCGUUUAUAAAAUCAUCAGAUCUCGUGAGACUUAUUCACUAUCACAAGAACAGGACGGGGGAAACCGCCCACAUGAUUCAAUUAUCUCCACCUGGCCCCGCCCUUGACACGUGGGGAUUAUUACAACUCAAGGUGAGAUUUUUGGUGGGGACACAGCCAAACCAUAUCAAGGCCCUAAACCCUAACGUGACUAUAUUGGGAGAUUAGGGCCUUUAAGGAGAUAAUUAAGGCUAAAUGAGGUCAAAAGGGAGGGUUCCUAUCCAAUAGGACAAGUGUCUUUAUGAAAAGAAGAGACACCAGAGAUCUUUCUCUACAUGCUCAUAGAGAAAAGGUCGUGGGAAAACACAGCGAGAGGGUGGCCGUCUGAAAGUCAGAAAGAGCUGCCUCACUGGACAUCAACUCCGAUAGCACCUUAUCUAGCACUUCUAGCCCCUAGAAUUGCGGGAAAAUAAAUGUCUGUUGUUUAAGCCGCCCAGUCUGUUGCAUUGUUAUGGUCCCCUGGCAAACACAUGCGUGGUUGUUGACCAUCUACUCACCUCACUUUCCUCUGCCUCUCUCCUGCUUUGCUCCCCUCGCCCACUCAUUCCAGACACGCUGGUGGCCCUGUUCCCUGUGCCUGAAGGAUUCCUCCCAGAAUACCCACGGGGAUCUCCCUUUCUCCCUCUUCAGGGCUUUGCUCAAACGUCCCUUCCCAGCGAGACUUUCUCUCACCACCUGUAUUUAAAAUCAUGAAACCUCCCCUCCUCCACAGCUCAUUCCAUUUCCCUCCUCUAUUACUCUUCACGGUACUUAUCCCCUGUCAAUAAAUAAUAGCCACGUAAUUUAUUUAUUUGGGUGCAUUGUUUGCCUCCUCCCACUAUGAUAUAAGCUCCAUGAGGGCAGGGAGUGUUGCCGUCCUGUAUCCUGUCAGAUGAGGACAGAGUAGAGGAGUGUGCAAGUGUAUAUGGGAAAGAGAGAGAGACUGAGAGAGAGAGAGAGGGAAAGAGAGAGGGAAAAGAUGACCAGUCAGAUCAAGAUUUUGCCCACUGGAGGCAGUUCUUUUGAGCUCUUUGACCCAAAUUUACUAGAUAUGGACUUAUAAAUGCUAAUAACAUAACAAAAAAUACUAUAAAUAGUUCACAGUGCAAUGAGGAGGUACUAUGCCCAAUACCUGGCAGAGGGCCUGUUACAAAGGAGAGGUUCAGUGAUUAUUUUUUGAACCGAAUGGUUAUUGUCACCAUGACCAGAAUCUCCAUAAUCUAGUGACCUGCCCCCAUUAUUAUCAUCUGAUUAUGAGAAAGGGUUUCAUCAUUUGGAAAUGUCACAGGUCAUUGGGAGCAGUGUCUUAUGUGCUGACAGUGACCAGCAUAGUGCCUGACUUGUGGUAGACUCCCGGUAAAUAUUUGUGGAAUUAAUCGAAUUUUUUUUUUUACAUUUAUCGGUUUAACAUAAAAGAAAUUGCAAAGAAUCAGAUGAAAAGAUGCAUAGGGCAAGGCAUGUGGAAAGGGACACAGAGCUCCCAUGCCUUGUCUGGGUGUGCCCCGUGCCAAGAACCUCCGCAUGUUCAGUUAUCCAGAAGUGCAUCCGAUCUCCGUCCUUUGCGGUUUUUACAGUGGCUUCAUUACAUAGGCAUGAUUGAUUAAAUAAUUGGCUGUUGGUGAUCAACUUGACUUUCAGUCCCUCUCUCCUUCCCAGAGGUUGAAGGGUGGGGCUGAAGUCCCAACCCUCUAAUCCUGCCUUGGUCUUUCCUGUGACCAGCCCUCAUCCUGAAGCCAUCUAAAGGUUGCCAGUCACCAGUAAUCUCAUUAGCAUUCAAAAACACACUUAUUACUUUGGAGAUUCCAAGGACUUUAGAAGCUGAAUGCCAGGAAACAAGGACCCAAUAUAUAUCCCAUAAAAUAACAGUUCACUCCCUAUCCUCCAACACAGAUCCCUUACAUUAAAAAAAUGUACAACUCAAAUGGUACUGGCAAAUUAUUGGAAUCCCAUUUAAUCUUUAAUAAUUAGUCCAGUCCACUCUUAUGUCAUGUGAAUAUGUCUCUCAGAGCAAGGCCACUCAGGUUUGCAGCCUUCUCAUUCAAUCUUGUCAGGGUCCAAGAGCAAGAGUAGUCUCAGCAAACAUAGAGCUUUACCCUUUCUGGCAUCUGGCAUAGUUGAGCUGAAAGACAAUGUCAUCUCUUGCUCUGAGCCUCUUUGGAAGUGUUGAUAUAAUAUUGGAUUUCUCUUAUUACAUACCAUUUAUUCAUUACUUUUUUAUAUGACCUUAUUUGAAGAUAUUAUUCAUUUCUUUAACCUCAUAUACUAUUUCUCCUUCUCUUCAUUUAUACCUAAACUUUUCCGCCUUUGCUAACAUAGCAGAAAAUCUGACAGGACAAAAAUACGUAGACACUACUCCUUUAGAUGUUAAUUUUAAGUAACUUUUCAAUACUGCCCAUUAUCCUAAUAUUCCUUUCAGUAAAUAAGCUUUGCUUAUUCUGCUUGGCUCUGAGCAUAAUGUUCAGAUUGGUUCAAAUAAAAAAAGCCACCAUAUUUUUAUCCUUGGGAAUAAGAAAACAGAAUUUCUUACAUGGUAGAAAGGAAAAACGUCACUACAAAAUGUAAUUAUAGCAUUUUACAAUAUGCAUCGCACAAACUGUAUAAAACACACAAAGUACAUCUACUAAAACUUUGUUCUAAAACAAUUUUUUAAGUGAGCUAGUUUUCAAUGCAGUCGAGAUUACUGAGUUAAAAAAAAGAUUGAGAAGGAUUGAGAAGGAGCUUUGCAUAAACAAAAACUCUAUCUGCAAAUAAUUAUUCCUUAAUCCUAAGAGCUGGGGUAGCUUUCCUUUGUUUAUUAGCUUUUUUUUUUGUUUUUUAAUGGAAGUGAUUUUCUUAGAGUAGAAAGUUUAGUAUCAGAAUUGGCUGUGUUGUAUAUAUGGUAGUCACUUUUCAGAUAUUUUCCUGUCUGUUGGUUUAGGGGCUCUUUCUCCACACCCACCCUCAAGGCUACCUCUAUCUCCACCUAGCCUCUGAAUAUCUCCACCAAAGAGCAAAUCAGUUGACUGAAGUCAGCAGCCCACAUCACAGAAACCACUGUAUGUGAUACAUCACCACCAGCCAGCUUGCUAACCAGGACAGACUUCAAAUAAAGAUAGCGUUGAAUUCUUUCAGAUGUGGAGGCAUGAGAGAAAAUAUCAGAAUUAAAGUCAAAUACUUUAAGUAUCACACUAAAAGAAAACAUUUGUGUAGCUGUCCAGAAAACCUAUGAGUUGUUGGCUGUAGUUCCUACAGAACUAUGGCAUUCCGUGUGUGGACAUUGUUAAGUGAUAAACCUUUCCAUUGAUGUGGCUUUGCCAGAAGCCACUUAGCAUGCUUUAAAUUCAUAGCUUGAUAGGUUUCCAUGGAGAGCUUCCUUUAAAGGUAUUUCCUUCUUUGGAUUUCUACAGUUCUGUAUCUUAUACACCUCAGCAAUAUAACAUAAUGUGUUACUUAUUACUAUUUUUGAAAUGAAUAACCAAUAUUUCCCACCUUGAAAUAUACUUCAGCAAAGUCUAGAUCAAAACAUUUCUGUUUAUCGGGACAUGGAUUCAAGAAGUCUUGCAGAUAAUAAUUUAAAAUAUACGCAAGUAAUGGUAGAGUUAUAUGAUUGUCUUUCCCACUGCAACCUCAAUAAAUAUUUAUAAUGGAGUGUGUGUGGGGUGGGGUGUAGAGGGAGAGAGGGAGAAAAAAAAAGAGAGAGAGUCAGUCAGAUCAAUAUUUUGCUACUUGAAAACAUACAAAUAGCCAGUAGGCUUAUGAAAAAUGCUCAACAUCAGUAAUUAUCAGGGAAAUGAAAAUUAAAAUGACAAUGAGCUCCCAUCUCAUCCCUGUUAGAACAGCUAUUAUCAAAAAGACAAAAGAUAAAAAAUGUUGGCAAAGAUGUAGAGAAAAGGGAACGCUUCUACACUGUUGGUAGAAAUGUAAGUUAGUAUAGCCAUUGUGGAAAAUAGUGUGGAGGCACCUCAAAAAAACAAAAAUAGAAUUUGCAUAUCAUCCAGCAAUCUCACUUCUGGGUAUAUACCCAAAGGAAGUGAAAUCAGCACCUCAGAGUGAUAUCUGUGCCCUCAUGUUCAUUGCAGCAGUAUUCACAAUAGCCAAGAUACGGAAUAAACAUAAAUGUCCAUCAACAGAUGAAUGAAUUAAAAAAUGUAGUGGAAUACUAUUCAACUUUUAAAAAGAAGAAAAUUCUGUCAUUUUCAAUAACAUGGAUGAAUUUGGAGAACAUUGUGCUAAGUGAAAUCAGCCAGGUGCAAAAAAAACAAAUACCACAAGAUCUCACUUAUAUGUGGAAUCUGAAAAAAUCAAACUCAUGGACAUAGAGGGUAGAAUGGUGAUUACCAGAGGCUGAGGGGCAGGGUGGGGAGAAUAGAAUGGGGAGAUGUUGGUGAAAGGAGACAAAGUUUCAGUUAUACAGGAGCAAUAAGUUUCGAGAUCUGUUACACAGCAUGGUAACCAGUUAAUAAUGUAUCACAUGUUUCAAAAUUGCUUUAAAAAGUAGAUUGUAAAUGUUCUCACUACAUAAAAAUGGUAACUAUGUAAGGUGAUAAAAAUGUUAAUUAGCUUGAUAUAAUCAUGCUACAAUGUUUUUAUAUAUCAAAACAUCACAUUGUACCCCAUAAAUAUAUACAAUUAUUAUUUCUCAAUUCAAAAUAAAAAUUUGAGUUAAGAAAAGAUUUUACUCUGGCUGAACUUACAAAUGUGAAUGAAAUAAAAUAACAAAGAAAGAGUUCAAAGUACAAUGAAGAGGU
rnacentral:lncRNA from 1 species